UGCCGGACUCCUACGGGAGGCAGCAGUGGGGGAUAUUGCACAAUGGGGGGAACCCUGAUGCAGCGACGCCGCGUGAGCGAAGAAGUAUUUCGGUAUGUAAAGCUCUAUCAGCAGGGAAGAAAUUGACGGUACCUGAGUAAGAAGCUCCGGCUAAAUACGUGCCAGCAGCCGCGGUAAUACGUAUGGAGCAAGCGUUAUCCGGAUUUACUGGGUGUAAAGGGAGCGUAGGCGGCCUGCCAAGUCUGAUGUGAAAUACCGGGGCUCAACCCCGGGGCUGCAUUGGAAACUGGCAGGCUGGAGUGUCGGAGAGGCAGGCGGAAUUCCUAGUGUAGCGGUGAAAUGCGUAGAUAUUAGGAGGAACACCAGUGGCGAAGGCGGCCUGCUGGACGAUGACUGACGCUGAGGCUCGAAAGCGUGGGUAGCAAACAGGAUUAGAUGCCCGGGUACU
rnacentral:rRNA from 1 species